AUUGAACGCUGGCGGCAUGCCUUACACAUGCAAGUCGAACGGUAACAGGUCUUCGGGUGCUGACGAGUGGCGAACGGGUGAGUAAUGCAUCGGAACGUGCCCAGUUGUGGGGGAUAACUGCUCGAAAGAGCAGCUAAUACCGCAUACGACCUGAAGGUGAAAGCGGGGGAUCGCAAGACCUCGCGCAAUUGGAGCGGCCGAUGUCAGAUUAGGUAGUUGGUGGGGUAAAGGCCUACCAAGCCGACGAUCUGUAGGUGGUCUGAGAGGACGACCAGCCACACUGGGACUGAGACACGGCCCAGACUCCUACGGGAGGCAGCAGUGGGGAAUUUUGGACAAUGGGCGCAAGCCUGAUCCAGCAAUGCCGCGUGCAGGAAGAAGGCCUUCGGGUUGUAAGCUGCUUUUGUCAGGGAAGAAAUCCUCUGGGUUAAUACCCCGGGGGGAUGACGGUACCUGAAGAAUAAGCACCGGCUAACUACGUGCCAGCCGCCGCCGUAA
rnacentral:rRNA from 1 species